rnacentral:misc_RNA from 1 species
GAUGAAGAACGUAGCGAAAUGCGAUAAGUAAUGUGAAUUGCAGAAUUCAGUGAAUCAUCGAAUCUUUGAACGCACCUUGCGCUCCUUGGUAUUCCUUGGAGCAUGCCUGUUUGAGUAUCAUGAAAUCUUCAAAGUCAAACCUUUUGUUAAUUCAAUUGGUUCUGCUUUGGUAUUGGAGGAUUAUUGCAGCUUCACACCUGCUCCUCUUUGUGCAUUAGCUGGAUCUCAGUGUUAUGCUUGGUUCCACUCAGCGUGAUAAGUUAUCUAUCGCUGAGGACACCCUGUUAAAAAGGGGUGGCCAAGGUAAAUGCAGAUGAACCGCUUCUAAUAGUCCAUUGACUUGGACAAUAUCUAGUUUAUGAUCUGAUCUCAAAUCAGGUAGGACUACCCGCUGAACUUAAGCAUAUCAAUAAGCGGAGGA